UACGGAGGGUGCAAGCGUUAUCCGGAUUCACUGGGUUUAAAGGGUGCGUAGGUGGGUCUGUAAGUCAGUGGUGAAAUCUCCGAGCUUAACUCGGAAACUGCCAUUGAUACUAUAGAUCUUGAAUUUUCUGGAGGUUAGCGGAAUAUGUCAUGUAGCGGUGAAAUGCUUAGAUAUGACAUAGAACACCAAUUGCGAAGGCAGCUGGCUACAGGAAUAUUGACACUGAGGCACGAAAGCGUGGGGAUCAAACAGG
rnacentral:rRNA from 1 species